rnacentral:rRNA from 1 species
AUGCAGAGCAAAUCCCCAAAAAUUGUCUCAGUUCAGAUUGCAGGCUGAAACUCGCCUGCAUGAAGUCGGAAUUGCUAGUAAUCGCAGAUCAGCAUGCUGCGGUGAAUACGUUCCCGGGCCUUGUACACACCGCCCGUCACACCAUGGGAGUCGGUAACACCCGAAGUCGGUAGCCUAACCGUAAGGAGGGCGCCGCCGAAGGUGGGAUUGAUGACUGGGGUGAAGUCGUAACAAGGUACC